UACGUAGGUGGCAAGCGUUGUUCGGAAUUAUUGGGCGUAAAGGGCGCGUAGGCGGCUCGUUAAGUCGGCUGUGAAAGCCCGGGGCUCAACCCCGGAGGGUCGGCCGAUACUGGCGGGCUAGAGUACGGAAGAGGUAGCUGGAAUUCCCGGUGUAGCGGUGAAAUGCGUAGAUAUCAAGAGGAACACCUGUGGUGUAGACAGCUUACUGGACCACUUCUGACGCUGAGACACGAAAGCGUGGGUAGCAAACAGG
rnacentral:rRNA from 1 species